rnacentral:rRNA from 1 species
UGGGGAAUCUUAGACAAUGGGGGCAACCCUGAUCUAGCCAUGCCGCGUGAGUGAUGAAGGCCUUAGGGUUGUAAAGCUCUUUCAGCUGGGAAGAUAAUGACGGUACCAGCAGAAGAAGCCCCGGCUAACUCCGUGCCAGCAGCCGCGGUAAUACGGAGGGGGCUAGCGUUGUUCGGAAUUACUGGGCGUAAAGCGCAUGUAGGCGGACCAGAAAGUUGGGGGUGAAAUCCCGGGGCUCAACCCCGGAACGGCCUUCAAAACUAUUGGUCUGGAGUUCGAGAGAGGUGAGUGGAAUUCCGAGUGUAGAGGUGAAAUUCGUAGAUAUUCGGAGGAACACCAGUGGCGAAGGC